CCCACCCAGAGAACAUCGACCGUCGUGACUUCUCCCCCUCCAUGUCCAGUGCUCUCACCACUGCACGUGGGCCAGGACUGCUUUUAGGGUUCCUUGUUUAAGGAUGCUCCACCCAGUUCCAGAAGCAGCAGUCUCUCAACUUUGGGACACCAGUCCCCCCCAAAUUUCACCCCCUGGGGCCUCGUGGCCUCGUGAACAGAGAUCUUCCUCUCCACGGAGACAGAGGGCAUCCCACACCCUCCUCAGCCGUCUCUGUUCUCGCCACUGCUUCACUCUUGACUCCAAGGCAUUGCCUUCCCCUAAAUACAGUCUCUGGGUCACAGGAAAAACAUGGGUCUGUCCAUGGCCAUACAAGAAAAGUCCAGCCCAAGGCCACUCCAUCAUCUCUUCCCACCUAGGAUUCUCCUACCUCUUCCAACUUUCCUCACACUUGCCCAUUUCGUCAUGCCUCUCUCUCUCUCUCCUCAUUCUGAUUCAGGAGGAUUCAGUAUUUGUAAGGUUUCCAUUAUUCUACCAAGGGGUUAAAAUCUUCGCCUCUGCCUGCCCAGAACUCCCACAGCUGCCGGGCACCUUCUCUCGCCGCAUCCCCCGCUUCUGGCCGGCUGAGCUGCCAGCACAGUCUCUGUCUCUCUCUCCGGGGGGGCUGCCCAGACAUCCCAGGUCUCCUCCACCCCUGCACCUUUCGGGGCUCCGGCCUCCUCCCCACAGGCCGCAUGGCCUCCCCCUGCCCCACCCAGACGCAGCUGGGCAGGGGAGAGGUCCAGACUCCACUCACCACCAGAUUCCAAAAGAGGAAGUUCUCUGGGAAUCUCCUGCUUUUAACCCCUGUGUGUGUUCUCAGAGGCGUAUCCAAACCUCAGUGGCCACCACAGGUUUAUCUUUCUAGGUUCCCUUGUGUGGAAUCAGGAACUACACUCAAUGAUGCUUAUACAGAAAGGACAGAUAAAAAGAUGCCAUUUUUGAAGGUUCUACUAGAUGUUUUUUAGUAAGAUUUGCUUAUCAGCUUCCUAGCCCACCUCACUUUCUACCUCCUGUCCAAGAAAUGAUUGAAGAUCUUCCAGUGCUUCAAACUCACAGUAUGAAGAAGUACUUCAGUGAAUUGCCACUUAUGACAGCCUUGACGAGUAUGUUGAGGGGAAUCUCCACUGAAAGAAGGAAGGCAGAAAUCUCCACAUGUGCUCCAAAAAGAGGUGUGUUAGAAGACCCUUUGUUUAGAAGAGUGAUAUUGGGCUUCUACAGAAUAAAGUGGUUGACUAUCCAUCAGAUGUCUCCAGGAUGCAAGCUUUAGAUCAGUCAUUGGUACUAUCACUUGUUGGUUCCUUUAUCAGGUACUUUGUCAGGUACAGUGUUCAUAUUCAAGAUUUUAACAGUGUGUUUGAUGAGUCUGGCUGUCUUCAACAGCAGCAGCACUAAUCCAUCCACCACUGCUUUGCAAACAGCAUUGAUUGAGCCAUAUUACCCUGACUCUGGGCAGAAUAUGUUGCUAUAAUGUGCUAUUUUAUUAUUUUAUUUUAUUUUAUUUUAUUUUUUUCUGAAUACUUUUUUUGUCCUAGUUCAGUUGUUGAUAUUGUAGUAGAUCUGCAGGACUGGCUUGGUACAACUAAGAAAAAUAAACCUGAUCUCUUUCAGGGAAACAAGCACAGUUUUUCAAGGCUCUGUUAACCUCAUUAGAAAUGAGUCAGGUGUAGUAAGGCUACUUAAAAUUCAGUUUUCAAAGAAGGAAUUUAGGGUUGUUCUUCAAACUCUGUUUUCAUUUGUGAAAAUACGCAUUAAUUCAAAUGUUAUUUCCUGAAUAAUCUCUCCAGCAUUUUUAAGUGCUUUCCAUCUUCUACAUUUCCUUUCAGUCAUUGUUCAACACCACUUUUUUCACUAGUUUCCGUAUUUGUGUUAAAUAUUUGCAGUUCAAAAUAAUGUUUUAUUUUAACCUGAAAAUUAUGAAAAGAAUAAAUAAGGGAUUUGUAGAGUAGUCUCAUGUAUGCUUUCCCAUAUGGCUGACGUAGGUUAAUCUCACUGUUUGUCAGUUUUAGGAGUUCAAGAUGAUGUAAUUGUUUCUGUGGUUAAAAUACCACAUAU